rnacentral:lncRNA from 1 species
CUAGCCUUUACUUAACAACAUAAGCGAACUCUAUGUUACAAUGAUUGCACAGCCAUUAAGGAUCAAAUCAGUUUCUGAAAAAUGUUCUGUUUUUUCUCCCUCUGCUUGCUUCUUACUGUCUUUGAGGCUCGGGACCAGCACUCCUGUUGUUGGACAGAAAGACAUCAACUCAGUGACUUGAGAUGUGACUGCACUAUGCUGUUGCUGGUGACCACAGUUAAUUCUACAAGACAUGCUGUGUAAGUAAACAAACAACAACAGUUUGGUCUGCAUUUCUUGAAAGAUCACAUCCCCCAAACUUAGUUUAGAGUGUCUACACUGUAUAUAGUGAAGUCUGCAAGUUUUCUAACAGCAAAAUUUGUUUUGUGCCCAAAUCAAUGAUUUUGCACAUCAUUAGAAUGAAAGUUAUUGCCCAUGUUUGCAUAGCCCUUUUUAAAAUAAUGCUUUCAUGACAUUAUUGUGUGUAGGGUGGUGGUCACAGCUAUCCAGACUGACAAUUGGGACAUUGAAUGUCACCUCUCCAGUGGGAAGGGAGCCUGAGAUUGUCUAAAUUGGAGUCUGUUUUAUACCAAAUGCAGAAAAAAAUGUUUUAAGAAAGCAAUU